GGCGUUCGCAGCCUGAACCGCCGGGCUGGUGGCUCUCCUGUCCCCUCGCGGGCCGCGUCUCCGUCCGCUGCUCCUGAGAGCGCAAGCUCCACCCGCUGGUCCUCCUUAGCCCCGGCCGCUGCAAGGAGCUGGUGAGAGCUCUGAUUAAGCAUUGGUUUGUCUAAUACCGGCUACCACUACAUACGCACAGAGAAGCUGCCUUCUCCCACCCCAUCAAGAAAACAACCAAAUAAAACACAAGGUACAAUGUA